rnacentral:rRNA from 1 species
AGAGCGAACGCUGGCGGCAGGCCUAACACAUGCAAGUCGAACGGAUCCUUCGGGAUUAGUGGCGGACGGGUGAGUAACACGUGGGAACGUGCCUUUUGGUUCGGAACAACUCAGGGAAACUUGAGCUAAUACCGGAUAAGCCUUUCGAGGGAAAGAUUUAUCGCCAUUAGAGCGGCCCGCGUAGGAUUAGCUAGUUGGUGGGGUAAAGGCCCACCAAGGCUACGAUCCUUAGCUGGUCUGAGAGGAUGAUCAGCCACAUUGGGACUGAGACACGGCCCAAACUCCUACGGGAGGCAGCAGUGGGGAAUCUUGCGCAAUGGGCGAAAGCCUGACGCAGCCAUGCCGCGUGAAUGAUGAAGGUCUUAGGAUUAGUAAAAUUCUUUCACCGGGACGAUAAUGACGGUACCCGGAGAAGAAGCCCCGGCUAACUUCGUGCUAGCAGCCGC